GCAUAUCAAUAAGCGGAGGAAAAGAAACCAACAGGGAUUACCUCAGUAACGGCGAGUGAAGCGGUAACAGCUCAAAUUUGAAAGCUGGCUCUUUUAGGGUCCGCGUUGUAAUUUGUAGAAGAUGCUUCGGGUGUGGCCCCGGUCUAAGUUCCUUGGAACAGGACGUCAUAGAGGGUGAGAAUCCCGUAUGUGACUGGGUGCUUUCGCUCAUGUGAAGCUCUUUCGACGAGUCGAGUUGUUUGGGAAUGCAGCUCAAAAUGGGUGGUAAAUUUCAUCUAAAGCUAAAUAUUGGCCAGAGACCGAUAGCGCACAAGUAGAGUGAUCGAAAGAUGAAAAGCACUUUGGAAAGAGAGUUAAACAGUACGUGAAAUUGUUGAAAGGGAAGCGCUUGCAACCAGACUUGCGCGCUGAUGAUCAUCCGGGCUUCUGCCCGGUGCACUCGUCUGCGCUCAGGCCAGCAUCGGUUUCGGUGGUGGGAUAAAGGCCUUGGGAAUGUAGCUCCUCUCGGGGAGUGUUAUAGCCCUCGGUGCAAUGCCGCCUACCGGGACCGAGGACCGCGCUUCGGCUAGGAUGCUGGCGUAAUGGUUGUAAGCGACCCGUCUUGAAACACGGACCAAGGAGUCUAACAUCUAUGCGAGUGUUUGGGUGUCAAACCCAUACGCGUAAUGAAAGUGAACGGAGGUGAGAACCCUUAAGGGUGCAUCAUCGACCGAUCCUGAUGUCUUCGGAUGGAUUUGAGUAAGAGCAUAGCUGUUGGGACCCGAAAGAUGGUGAACUAUGCGUGAAUAGGGUGAAGCCAGAGGAAACUCUGGUGGAGGCUCGCAGCGGUUCUGACGUGCAAAUCGAUCGUCAAAUUUGCGUAUAGGGGCGAAAGACUAAUCGAAACCAUCUAGUAGCUGGGUUCCCUGCGAAGG
rnacentral:rRNA from 1 species